rnacentral:rRNA from 1 species
CAGUAGCCGCGGUAAUACGUAGGUCCCGAGCGUUGUCCGGAUUUAUUGGGCGUAAAGCGAGCGCAGGCGGUUAGAUAAGUCUGAAGUUAAAGGCUGUGGCUUAACCAUAGUACGCUUUGGAAACUGUUUAACUUGAGUGCAAGAGGGGAGAGUGGAAUUCCAUGUGUAGCGGUGAAAUGCGUAGAUAUAUGGAGGAACACCGGUGGCGAAAGCGGCUCUCUGGCUUGUAACUGACGCUGAGGCUCGAAAGCGUGGGGAGCAAACAGGAUUAGAUACCCGGGUAGUCCCUGUCUCUUAUACA